CCGGGAGUAGGGGGAACAUCUACCCAAUGGUUCUGAUGUAGGACUUGGAGACCGCCUAUGUUGUCUUGGAGAAGCACGGUGAGGAAGUCGUUGUCAGCAUGCUUACUGGUGCCUAGAGUAAGUUCAGGUUGUGGACAUGCUGGAUAAUAAUGGCCUAACGCCAUAAGACCCUCGGCACAACCCAUAUCCUUGAGGUGGUUUGGUUCGAGGCCAAUAGCUUCAGACAGUAUUCCAAAUAGAGUAUCACCUAAUUUCAUCACUUGGUUUGUGUACUCAAGGAGAACAUCCCU